rnacentral:rRNA from 1 species
GACGAACGCUGGCGGCGUGCCUAAUACAUGCAAGUAGAACGCAGUUGCGAACGGGUGAGUAACGCGUAGGUAACUGCCUGGUAGCGGGGGAUAACUAUUGGAAACGCUAGCUAAUACCGCAUACUACCAGAUGGACCUGCGUUGUAUUAGGUAGUUGGUGGGGUAACGGCUCACCAAGGCAACGAUACUUAGCCGGCCUGAGAGGGGGAUUGGCCCAACUGGGACUGAGACACGGGCCAGAACCCGAAGGGAGGCAGCAGUAGGGGAGUUUCGGGAAUGGGCGGAAGGCUGACCGAGCAACGCCGCGUGAGUGAAGAAGGGUUUCGGAUCGUAAAGAUCUGUUGAAAGAGAAGCGGUAUCUUACCAGAAAGGGACGGCUAACUACGUGCCAGCAGCCGCGGUAAUAC